rnacentral:rRNA from 1 species
GAUGAACGCUGGCGGCGUGCUUAACACAUGCAAGUCGAACGGGAAGGCUCCUGCUUGCAGGGGCACUCGAGUGGCGAACGGGUGAGUAACACGUGGGUGAUCUGCCCUGCACUUCGGGAUAAGCCUGGGAAACUGGGUCUAAUACCGGAUAGGACCAUCGUUUAGUGUCGGUGGUGGAAAGUUUUUUCGGUGUGGGAUGGGCUCGCGGCCUAUCAGCUUGUUGGUGGGGUAAUGGCCUACCAAGGCGUCGACGGGUAGCCGGCCUGAGAGGGUGUACGGCCACAUUGGGACUGAGAUACGGCCCAGACUCCUACGGGAGGCAGCAGUGGGGAAUAUUGCACAAUGGGCGCAAGCCUGAUGCAGCGACGCCGCGUGGGGGAUGACGGCCUUCGGGUUGUAAACUCCUUUCGCCAGGGACGAAGCGAAAGUGACGGUACCUGGAGAAGAAGCACCGGCUAACUACGUG